CUUAUCUAUCACUAAUGAGCCCCUCCACACAUUUAUUUUUUGCUUUGUCCCUAGAGACACUUGUGUGACCUGGAAUGAGCCCAAAUGUCCUUAUUUUGCCAGUGAUGGAGAGAUAUUGGGAGGACGUAACAGAAGAAGUGAUGUAAGAGGCAGUGCAAUCAUGCUAUUUAUCAAAAGGAACACUCGACAAUCACAAUGGACUUCAGAGCUGUGUCCUGAGCCAUCUGGUCAACUCUUGGCAAGAAACUUCUUUGUUCUUUAGAGACUGAGCUUUAUCCCCAAGCACUAACAGAAUUGAAGUGGAAGAAGUUGGAAUUAUUCAUUUUGGUAUGUAAAGAAUAACUUACUGUUUAUGCAUAUUAAGGGACAUUUUAAUUUUAUUUAAAAAAUUUUUUUAACUUUUAUUUAUUUUUGAGACACAGAGAGACAGAGUGUGAGCAGGGGAUGGACAGAGAGAGAGGGAGUCACAGAAUUCAAAGCAGGCUCCAGGCUCCUAGUUGUCAGCACAGAGCCUGAUGCAGGGCUGGAACUCAUGAACCAUGAGAUCAUGACCUGAGCUGAAGU
rnacentral:lncRNA from 1 species